GACACGACUCUCGGCAAUGGAUAUCUCGGCUCUCGCAUCGAUGAAGAGCGCAGCGAAAUGCGAUACGUGGUGCGAAUUG
rnacentral:rRNA from 4 species